rnacentral:snRNA from 1 species
GUGCUCUCUUUGGCAGCACAUAUAUUAAAAUUGGAAAGAUACAGAGAAGAUUAGUACGGCCCCUGCACAAGGAUGACAUGCAAAUUUGUGAAGCGUUCCAUAUUUUU